rnacentral:rRNA from 1 species
UUUCAACGGGUAACGGGGAAUUAGGGUUCGAUUCCGGAGAGGGAGCCUGAGAAACGGCUACCACAUCCAAGGAAGGCAGCAGGCGCGCAAAUUACCCAAUCCCGAUUCGGGGAGGUAGUGACAAUAAAUACUGAUACAGGGCUCUUUUGGGUCUUGUAAUUGGAAUGAGUACAAUUUAAACCUCUUAACGAGGAACAAUUGGAGGGCAAGUCUGGUGCCAGCAGCCGCGGUAAUUCCAGCUCCAAUAGCGUAUAUUAAAGUUGUUGCAGUUAAAAAGCUCGUAGUUGAAACUUGGGUCUGGCUGGCGGGUCCGCCUCACCGCGUGCACUCGUCCGGCCGGGCCUUCCUUCUGAAGAACCUCAUGCCCUUUACUGGGCGUGUUGGGGAAUCAGGACUUUUACUUUGAAAAAAUUAGAGUGUUCAAAGCAGGCCUUUGCUCGAAUACGUUAGCAUGGAAUAAUAAAAUAGGGCGUGCGUUUCUAUUUUGUUGGUUUCUAGAGACGCCGCAAUGAUUAACAGGAACAGUCGGGGGCAUCAGUAUUCAGUUGUCAGAGGUGAAAUUCUUGGAUUUACUGAAGACUAACUACUGCGAAAGCAUUUGCCAAGGAUGUUUUCAUUAAUCAGUGAACGAAAGUUAGGGGAUCGAAGACGAUCAGAUACCGUCGUAGUCUUAACCGUAAACUAUGCCGACUAGGGAUCGGGCGAUGUUCUUUUUCUGACUCGCUCGGCACCUUACGAGAAAUCAAAGUUUUGG